AGUCGAACGAGAAAUUCCUGCUUCGGCGGGAAGAGUAAAGUGGCGCACGGGUGAGUAACACGUGGGUAACCUGCCUUCGAAUUUGGGAUAACUUCGCGAAAGCGUUGCUUAUACCAGAUAUUGUUACAUUAACUCCGGUUUUUGUAAUGAAAGGUGACCUCUUCAUGAAAGUUGCCGUUCAAAGAGGGGCUCGCGUACCAUUAGCUAGUUGGUGGGGUAAUGGCCUACCAAGGCUACGAUGGUUAGCUGGUCUGAGAGGAUGAUCAGCCACACUGGAACUGA
rnacentral:rRNA from 1 species